GCAAGUCGAGCGGAAACGAGUUGUCUGAUCCUUCGGGGGACGAUAACGGCGUCGAGCGGCGGACGGGUGAGUAAUGCCUAGGAAAUUGCCCUGAUGUGGGGGAUAACCAUUGGAAACGAUGGCUAAUACCGCAUGAUGCCUACGGGCCAAAGAGGGGGACCUUCGGGCCUCUCGCGUCAGGAUAUGCCUAGGUGGGAUUAGCUAGUUGGUGAGGUAAUGGCUCACCAAGGCAACGAUCCCUAGCUGGUCUGAGAGGAUGAGC
rnacentral:rRNA from 1 species